CACUGUUUGUGCCUGCCACUUUAAGGGCCAGAAGAUAGCAGCCAGCAGGUGCCUGAUUAGGGCAGCCAUUUUAGAUUCAGGGCUGACCAUAUAAACCGGACAUUUUGAUGUUGGGAGGCCAGGCAACAACAUAGUCUGGCUGCAGGUAUCAUCUGGAGAGAAACUCAUGGAUUUUGAAAUUUUUCACUGAGCUCCCUGCAGAGUUCCAGCCUUCAGAUAGCUGGGAGGUAGCAGGAGGAAAGUGGUGAGAUAGGGGGCACCACAUGCAUGUACAUGCACAUGGACAAGGCAGCCUGCAGAACAGCUCCAGCAGGGAAAACCAGGAUCCCUGGUGAUGACGGGAGCAUUUCUGGAAUGGCAGUGAUCAGGACGGGUAUCAAUACACUGGUGCAGUGUGUCAUUCCUAUAUUCAGUGGAGUUACUGUUUGGGUUACCAUCACUGAAAAAGGGCAAAGCAACCACUGGGAACAAUGACAACUUGAUUUCAGUGGAGUUGCAGUGGAGUAAAAAUGUUUUAACAGACUGUAAAAAUCUGUCACUAACUGAUACAUCAGUGCUAACUCAUAUAUACUCAGAAUUUAGAUUUCCUAGGCACUCGAUUUAUAGUUUUGUUAUGUUCAUUUAAUACGGGGGGGGUGCAAAAUCUGGCCCAUGAGCUGGAUCCAGUCGGAAGUGGACUUCAUUUCCGAGCAGCCCUUACCUGCAUGAUCAGGGCCACUUCCCAUGGAGUCCCCAGCAGCAGCCAGACUCUUAUAGUGUGGGACUGGGGUUUCUGUGGAAACCAGCUGCAGCAGUGCUUGGCUGGGUUCUUGUAUGGUGACGGCAUGGUCUGUAGUUUGGGCAGAGCUGCGAUCUGAUCCUCCGGGCAGGGGCAUGUAGGCAGCAUAUCCCAGAUCUGCCUCGGCUCCUUGCAACAAUAACACCAUGGUCUGGAGC